rnacentral:lncRNA from 13 species
GUGUGUGUGUGUGUGUGUGUGUGUGUGUGUGUGUGUGUGUGUGUGUGUGUGUGUGUGUGUGUGUGUGUGUGUCAGGGACAGGUCUGCCUCCAGAAGAGUCCUUUUUAGGGAUGGAUGAUAAGAGAAUACCCUCACCCUAUCAGAGGGUUCAGGCUGUUAUCUCUGGAUAUUAAUACACACUGUAGGGUCCCACACCUCCUCCAUUCUCUCCUUCUCCUUCUCUCUCUCCCUCUCUCUCUCUCUCUCUCUCCUAUUGUCACGUUUCUGUUGAUCAGUGGAAAAUACUUCUAACUGAAGUCAGUUCUUCUCUCCAUCUGUCAGGUAUGUCUGACCGCUGUACCUUUCUACAAAGAUGUACCUUUCUACAAAGAUUACCUUUCUACAAAGAUGUACCUUUCUACAAAGAUAUACCUUUCUACAAAGAUAUACCUUUCUACAAAGAUAUACCUUUCUACAAAGAUAUACCUUUCUACAAAGAUAUACCUUUCCACCUAUAGCUGUAUAUUCAUACCAGAGCAACCAUGUCAGACAAUGAAGAGGUUGAAGAGUUUGAGUAAGUCUUUAUUCAUUAUAUAUGUACAAUGGUGUAAAGCCACUAAGUAAAAAUACUUUGAAGUACGACUUAAUUAUUUUUUAAGGGUAUCUGUACUUAACUUUAGCAUUUCGAUGUGUAGCAGGACAGGAAAAUUGUCCAAUUCCCUUCUGCCUCUGAUCUGGCAGACUACACAGGCUUUGUUUGUCGAUGAUGUCUGAGUGUUGGAGUGUGCCCCUGGCUAUCUGUAAAUUAAAAUAACAAGACCAUUGUGCAAGACCAAUGUAAAUCAUUUAGAGCAUUUACUUUUACUUUCGAUACUUAAGUAUAUUUGACCAAUGACAUUUGAGUAUAUUUAAGUAUAUUUGAAAACAAAUACUUUUACUCAAGUAGUAUUUUAUAUAUCACAUUAUCAACCAGAUAUACUAACCUGUAUAUAUGUAGUAUCAUAUUAUCAACCCUAUCCCUACCUAUAAAGUCUCACAUUUCACUUACUUAUAUAUUUUGUUGAAUUUCUGUUUCUAAUGCCUGUUGUUUUCUGUGAUUAUAAUUUCUUAUUCAUCCACAGGGAGCAGAAUGGUAAGUUCUGUGUGUGUGUGUGUGUG